ACGAACGCUGGCGGCGUGCUUAACACAUGCAAGUCGAACGGAAAGGCCCUGCUUUUGUGGGGUGCUCGAGUGGCGAACGGGUGAGUAGCACGUGAGUAACCUGCCCUUGACUUUGGGAUAACUUCAGGAAACUGGGGCUAAUACCGGAUAGGAGCUCCUGCUGCAUGGUGGGGGUUGGAAAGUUUCGGCGGUUGGGGAUGGACUCGCGGCUUAUCAGCUUGUUUGUGGGGUAGUGGCUUACCAAGGCUUUGACGGGUAGCCGGCCUGAGAGGGUGACCGGCCACAUUGGGACUGAGAUACGGCCCAGACUCCUACGGGAGGCAGCAGUGGGGAAUAUUGCACAAUGGGCGGAAGCCUGAUGCAGCAACGCCGCGUGCGGGAUGACGGCCUUCGGGUUGUAAACCGCUUUCGCCUGUGACGAAGCGUGAGUGACGGUAAUGGGUAAAGAAGCACCGGCUAACUACGUG
rnacentral:rRNA from 1 species